rnacentral:rRNA from 1 species
UACGUAGGGGGCAAGCGUUGUCCGGAGUUACUGGGCGUAAAGCGCACGCAGGCGGUCGGCCGCGUCGGUGGUGACAGUCCUCGGCUUAACUGAGGAAGCGCUGCCGAAACGGGUGGACUUGAGGGCCAGAGAGGGACACGGAACUCCGGGUGGAGCGGUGAAAUGCGUAGAGAUCCGGAAGAACACCGAAGGCGAAGGCAGUGUCCUGGCUGGCUCCUGACGCUCAGGUGCGAAAGCUAGGGGAGCAAACAGG